rnacentral:rRNA from 1 species
CCUACGGGAGGCUGCAGUAGGGAAUCUUCCACAAUGGGCGAAAGCCUGAUGGAGCAACGCCGCGUGAGCGAAGAAGGUCUUCGGAUCGUAAAGCUCUGUUGUAAGGGAAGAACAAGUGCAGUAGUAACUGGCUGCACCUUGACGGUACCUUACUAGAAAGCCACGGCUAACUACGUGCCAGCAGCCGCGGUAAUACGUAGGUGGCAAGCGUUGUCCGGAAUUAUUGGGCGUAAAGCGCGCGCAGGCGGUCUCUUAAGUCUGAUGUGAAAGCCCCCGGCUUAACCGGGGAGGGUCAUUGGAAACUGGGAGACUUGAGUGCAGGAGAGGGAAGCGGAAUUCCAUGUGUAGCGGUGAAAUGCGUAGAGAUAUGGAGGAACACCAGUGGCGAAGGCGGCUUCCUGGCCUGUAACUGACGCUGAGGCGCGAAAGCG